UCUCCGUCACAAAGAAACUCGCUCUUCAGAUGUUUUAUAAAAAUUGGUGGUGACUAAAGAAAAUUGGCAAAGUCUUCAGGAAUGAAAAUACCUGGCUUCAGUGUAGAGGUGAAAGCCUUCAGUAGAAAAGACUUUUUUCAUGCUGUGGGAGAAACAUCCGGCUGAAAAACAGCAAGACAUUACAGGACAGAUGAGCAGUUUUCCAAGCGCGACGACUGGCAGAGAGUACAACAGGAUUCAUACCACCUGAUGCCAGAGUGGACCAUUGGACGUCAGUCCAACAAAUCACACAGCGAUUUCUCCGACCACGUCCGGCCUCGGCCACAUGAACAGUCGGUUAGAAGCACGUCAUUAGAGUCUGAUUAUCAGUUGUAGCACGCAGUCUUUGUGGACGUGGAGAGGUAAGUCGUAAACCGCUUCUUAGAGGUAAGUUGAAAAAGGUUGGAUCAAUUUAGCAGCUGUCUGAAGUGUAAAAUGGAGCAGCCGAGUAAUAUUUUCCUAAAUUAGUUUCAUUAGAUAUGAAUUACUGUAUUUGAGACCAAUUUUAGGUCGGAGAUUGGAUGAGACCCCAAGGGGUCCUUCUGUUCGUCUGUAAUUUACCUUUUAGUAUUUGACUGGAAACUCGUUUAACAAGAGUUUAUCGCUGCUGAAUUACUUUCCUCUUUUCCGUGGGUCAUUAUGUACACAUACAAAUUCAUACUAUCUUUUUCAUAGUUAUUGAACUUGUUUAUUAACGAAUGAUUGCAGAAUCCCGAAAGUGUUGCCCUGAUAUGAUAUAUAUUUUCAAUAAAGUUGAACGAUAUGUGCAA